UUGGUAGGGUAACGGCCUACCAAGGCUACGAUCAGUAGGGGUUCUGAGAGGAUUAACCCCCACACUGGUACUGAGACACGGACCAGACUCCUACGGGAGGCAGCAGUGAGGAAUAUUGGUCAAUGGGCGGAAGCCUGAACCAGCCAUCCCGCGUGAAGGAAGACAGCCUUACGGGUUGUAAACUUCUUUUCUGUCAGAAGAAUAAGCUUGUCGAGACGAGUGAUGCCGGUAUGACAGGAAUAAGCAUCGGCUAACUCCGUGCCAGCAGCCGCGGUAAUACGGAGGAUGCAAGCGUUAUCCGGAUUUAUUGGGUUUAAAGGGUGCGCAGGUUGUUUGAUAAGUCAGUGGUGAAAGUCUGUCGCUUAACGGUAGGAUUGCCAUUGAUACUGUUGGACUUGAAUAUGGAUGAGGUAGGCGGAAUGUGUAGUGUAGCGGUGAAAUGCAUAGAUAUUACACAGAACACCGAUUGCGAAGGCAGCUUACUAAUCCAUCAUUGACGCUGAGGCGCGAAAGCGUGGGGAUCAAACAGGAUUAGAUACCCUGGUAGUCCACGCCGUAAACGAUGAUCACUCGCUGUUUGCGAUAUACAGUAAGCGGCUAAGCGAAAG
rnacentral:rRNA from 1 species